GAUGAACGCUGGCGGCGUGCUUAACACAUGCAAGUCGAACGGAAAGGCUCCUGCUUGCAGGGGUACUCGAGUGGCGAACGGGUGAGUAACACGUGGGUGAUCUGCCCUGCACUUCGGGAUAAGCCUGGGAAACUGGGUCUAAUACCGGAUAGGACGAUGGUUUCGAUGCCAUUGUGGAAAGUUUUUUCGGUGUGGGAUGAGCUCGCGGCCUAUCAGCUUGUUGGUGGGGUAAUGGCCUACCAAGGCGUCGACGGGUAGCCGGCCUGAGAGGGUGUACGGCCACAUUGGGACUGAGAUACGGCCCAGACUCCUACGGGAGGCAGCAGUGGGGAAUAUUGCACAAUGGGCGCAAGCCUGAUGCAGCGACGCCGCGUGGGGGAUGACGGCCUUCGGGUUGUAAACUGCUUUCGCUAGGGACGAAGCGCAAGUGACGGUAACUGGAGAAGAAGCACCGGCUAACUACGUG
rnacentral:rRNA from 1 species